AAAAAAGAGCUUUGUCAUCUUUUCUCAUUUGGAAAGACAACCAUGUUGUAUGUUCCAAGAACAGCUUUAGCCUUCUGCUCAAAUUCAAGCUGAUAAUCACCUUAGGCAGAAAUCUGUAGCAUGCUAAAGUGACAGGCAGAGCCCACAAUAUCCAAUCACCAUUAUAGAAAUAAUUUAAACUGACAGGCAACCUAAAAGGCUUUUUGUGGUACUGAUGCAUACUACAAAUUGACUGUCUAUUUACCAUUAUAGAAAUAAUUUAAACUGACAUGCAACCUAAAAGGCUUUUUGUGGUACUGAUGCAUACUACAAAUUGGCUGUCUAUUUAAUAGAAGCAAGUGCCAGCUACUCAUUGUUCUGUAAAUAGCAGAUUGAGCAACAUUUUUUUUCUACUUUUGAAGGAAGACAGUUCUCAGUAUAGUAACCAUGUCAUCUAGAUUAUCAAGUUGGAGCCUGUCAGCUUACGUUAUUUUGCAUGUGGGUCGUUGGUAAAGGAGGAGUCCAGGAGUGCAGGAACCGGCAAUGUCAGAAGUGAUUUGUAUAACGAAAAAGAUCAAAUUAAUAAGUUUAAUAAUAGAAUGAGAGGAACAAACAAAUUACAUGCGUAAAGAUAUGUAUUGGUUGGUGUUACUAAGCCACAUGCAAGAAGAAAACACUGAUCACAG
rnacentral:lncRNA from 1 species